rnacentral:rRNA from 1 species
GUCCCAGUUCGGAUUGCAGUCUGCAACUCGACUGCAUGAAGCUGGAAUCGCUAGUAAUCGCGAAUCAGAAUGUCGCGGUGAAUACGUUCCCGGGUCUUGUACACACCGCCCGUCACACCAUGGGAGUUGGUAACGCCCGAAGUCAGUGACCCAACCGCAAGGAGGGAGCUGCCGAAGGCGGGAUCGGUAACUGGGGUGAAGUCGUAACAAGGUACC